ensembl:misc_RNA 7SK 7SK RNA
GGAUGUAAGAGUCUUCUGUGUGCAAAAUCUGCCACCUCAGGGAUCCCUAGUGUUGAUUCACCUGAUCUGUCUUGCUAGGCUGUGUCAUAUUUUCUUCCUAAGUGCUCAUUCUGUGUCCUUCUUAAGGGUGCCAAUUUGAUCUAAGAGAAACCUUAAACAUUUGGAGGAAAACCAUUCUUCCAAAAUAGAUAGCUUGCUCCCCUGCUAGAAUGUCCAAACAAGCUAUCCAAAAAUGUUGGUGAGUGCAAUCCCCAAUAGAGACAAGAUCUACCAGAUGUGGACACUCCACCAUAUUCU